rnacentral:lncRNA from 1 species
UAAGUCAUUUGGUACAAAGAAUCUCUAAUCAAGACAGUAGGGUUUUUAAACCCAAAAAGAAUUGGAACAAAAAGGUGUCAUUUGUCGAUGAAGGAGAAGACUCCGAUUCUGAUGAAGAGCCAGUUAUCAGUUUGGCUGAAUGGGUCAAAAACAAAAGGCCGAUAUCUUGUCCUUUUGGUCAGAAAGAACCAGAAAAGUUCACCUUUGAUGUCACCAAGGC